rnacentral:rRNA from 1 species
UACGAAGGGGGCUAGCGUUGCUCGGAAUCACUGGGCGUAAAGGGUGCGUAGGCGGGUCUUUAAGUCAGGGGUGAAAUCCUGGAGCUCAACUCCAGAACUGCCUUUGAUACUGAAGAUCUUGAGUUCGGGAGAGGUGAGUGGAACUGCGAGUGUAGAGGUGAAAUUCGUAGAUAUUCGCAAGAACACCAGUGGCGAAGGCGGCUCACUGGCCCAAUACUGACGCUGAGGCACGAAAGCGUGGGGAG